rnacentral:rRNA from 1 species
CCGUGAUGGAGAGCUUGAUCCUGGCUCAGGACGAACGCUGGCGGCGUGCUUAACACAUGCAAGUCGAACGCUGAAGCCCCUUUCGGGGGGUGGAUGAGUGGCGGACGGGUGAGUAACACGUGGGCAAUCUGCCCCGUACUUCGGGAUAAGCCUCGGAAACGAGGUCUAAUACCGGAUAGGACAUCGUGUCGCAUGGCGCGGUGUGGAAAGUUGCGGCGGUACGGGAUGAGCCCGCGGCCUAUCAGCUGGAUGGUGGGGUCACGGCCCACCAUGGCGACGACGGGUAGCCGGCCUGAGAGGGUGACCGGCCACACUGGGACUGAGACACGGCCCAGACUCCUACGGGAGGCUGCAGUGAGGAAUCUUG